AGGAUCCCUCUCAGGAGCCUCGGGAAUCCGUUUCCUCUCCGCAUCAGUGGCAGAGAUGUCCCUGCCCCAACCGGUGGGUGUGCGGAUUCUGUGCGGAUUCGCACGGUGUUUGGCACGUGAAAGAAAGCACAGAAGGGUGUGUGGAAAAAGAAACUCAGUUUCCCUCACCGUACGAGAGGCUUCUGACAGCAGAAGUGUGGGGGUUUCUCCCCACCAGCAAGCAAACAAUCAGUCCUCUGGUGAACACCAGCUGAGGGUCCCCAAAUUCAAUUCUGACACCACUAUGGGUAGAUAGUGGCCGAUCCCACAUGUUGAGGGUUCAGUCCCCCAGACUGCCAAUCGAAAGCCCUAGGUUGUUUUACCUGUGUUUCUGACUGACUAUAAACUGGGGUUCCCACAAUUCCCUCCUGCAGUUUUACUAAUUUGCUAGAGCAGCUCACAGAACUCAGGGAAACACUUUACUUACAUAUACUGGUUUCUUUCUUUAAA
rnacentral:lncRNA from 10 species